UACGAAGGGGGCUAGCGUUGUUCGGAAUUACUGGGCGUAAAGGGCGCGCAGGCGGCUCUUCAAGUCAGAUGUGAAAGCCCCGGGCUCAACCUGGGAAGUGCACUCGAUACUGCGUGGCUUGAGUAUCGGAGAGGUUGGUGGAAUUCUCGGUGUAGAGGUGAAAUUCGUAGAUAUCGAGAGGAACACCGGUGGCGAAGGCGGCCAACUGGACGAAUACUGACGCUGAGACACGAAAGCGUGGGGAGCAAACAGG
rnacentral:rRNA from 1 species